AGAGUACCAAUUGGAGGGCAAGUCUGGUGCCAGCAGCCGCGGUAAUUCCAGCUCCAAUAGCGUAUAUUAAACUUGUUGCAGUUAAAAAGCUCGUAGUUGAAUUUCAGCGUUUCGCGUGUGCCUCUUUUGGCCCAUCUCGUCUCGCUUUUUUUAUUACUUUGAGAAAAUUAGAGUGUUUCAAGCAGGCUUUUGUCUUGAAUACUUGAGCAUGGAAUAAUAGAGUAGGACCUUGGUUCUAUUUUGUUGGUUUUGUUACCUUGGUAAUGGUUAAUAGGAACGGUUGGGGGCAUUCGUAUUUAACUGUCAGAGGUGAAAUUCUUAGAUUUGUUAAAGACGAACUACUGCGAAAGCAUUUGCCAAGGACGUUUCCAUUAAUCAAGAACGAAAGUUAGGGGAUCGAAGACGAUCAGAUACCGUCGUAGUCCUA
rnacentral:rRNA from 1 species